rnacentral:rRNA from 1 species
AGUCGAGCGAGCNAAGUUAAAGGAAUACUUCGGUAGGAAUUUAAUAGCGCGAGCGGCGGAUGGGUGAGUAACACGUGGGCAAUCUACCCUUUAGCUUGGGAUACCACUUGGAAACAGGUGCUAAUACCAAAUAAGAAGUAAGAGCGCAUGCUCAAGCUAUGAAAGGCGGCUUUCGAGCUGUCGCUAAAGGAUGAGCCCGCGGUGCAUUAGCUAGUUGGUAAGGUAACGGCUUACCAAGGCAAUGAUGCAUAGCCGAGUUGAGAGACUGAUCGGCCACAUUGGGACUGAGACACGGCCCAAACUCCUACGGGAGGCAGCAGUAGGGAAUCUUCCACAAUGGACGCAAGUCUGAUGGAGCAACGCCGCGUGAGUGAAGAAGGUUUUCGGAUCGUAAAGCUCUGUUGUUGGUGAAGAAGGACAUGGAUAGUAACUGAUCUAUGUUUGACGGUAAUCAACCAGAAAGUCACGGCUAACUACGUGCCAGCAGCCGCGGUAAUACGUAGGUGGCAAGCGUUGUCCGGAUUUAUUGGGCGUAAAGCGAACGCAGGCGGGAGAACAAGUCAGCUGUGAAAGCCCUCGGCUUAACCGAGGAACGGCAACUGAAACUGUUUUUCUUGAGUGCAGAAGAGGAGAGUGGAACUCCAUGUGUAGCGGUGAAAUGCGUAGAUAUAUGGAAGAACACCAGUGGCGAAGGCGGCUCUCUGGUCUGUAACUGACGCUGAGGUUCGAAAGCAUGGGUAGCGAACAGGAUUAGAUACCCUGGUAGUCCAUGCCGUAAACGAUGAGUGCUAAGUGUUGGGAGGUUUCCGCCUCUCAGUGCUGCAGCUAACGCAUUAAGCACUCCGCCUGGGGAGUACGACCGCAAGGUUAAAACUCAAAGGAAUUGAC